CAUAUCGGUCUAGCAAGCUUGAAUAUAUGAUGGACACAAUUUGUUUCACACAAUCCUCAUCUGGUACGAUUAGGUACUCAUCUGGUAUUUUGAUCCAGGAUGGGUCUUUUAUAUCGAUGAAAUUCCAGAACUUAUUCGCAUAUUAUCAUGAAGGCUGAAGAUUCUGAAAUGUCUCCACAACUUCGAUCUAUUAAUCGAUGCGUCAACAGUCAUCGGUAAUAUCUGCCUAAAAUCGCCACCCAAAACUAUAUUUUUUCCUCCGAAUAUAUUUUUUGGAUUGCUCAUUAGAUCCUUUAAUGUCCUAUCCAGUGCUUCGAAGGCAUGUUUAUGCACCAUCGUCGCUUCAUCCCAUAUUAUUAGGUCUACCUUACACAUUAACUCUGCCAAAUAUGUUCCCUUUCGUAUGCCACAAACUGAGUCUUUAUGAAGCUGUAGGGGUAUUUUGAAGGUUGAAUGUGCUGUCCUACCUCCGGACAAUGAGAGUGAUGCUAUUCCUGAUGAAGCAACUGUUUAAAUAAUUUUCGAUCUGGAUCUUAAUCCGGCUGCCAAUAGAUUGAAUAGAUGUGUUUUUCCUGUCCCUCCGCUUCCACAGACGAAAAAUGCUCCCCUUUUUUGUCUUCGACUACCUCUUUUACAGCUUUAAACACGUUUCUUUGCUGGAUGUUCAAUCCAUUGUAUAGCUGCAAGAAAUCUCCUUGAAUUUGUGUUUUGUUGUAGUUUAUUUCUUCAUGGAUGAGAAUGUUUUCUUUUGUCUGUCAAAGAGGGUAAGGAAGCAUUGGGAAUUCUUUGAGAGGCCUGUUGAUCAGGAUAUCUUCGGAUAAUAGUCUCCAAUUUCGAUUCCACAACUCCGCUGGAUUCGCAAUUUUGCAAAACAAUAGCAGUGUUAUGAACAGUUGACGUAAGGACUUGCUGGAACCCCAAGUACUUGCCUCUUCAAUCAUCUCUUGCCACUCAUGGUGGGCGUCCAUUUUCUUCUGGAUUUUUUGAAUGUAAGCUGAUGUUUUGGUUGUUAAGGUGGUUAGUGCGUGUAUUUAAAUUUGUGAAACGAUGUGAUUGUCGUGACUCUUUUUGAGGGGUCGCGACUGUCUUUUGAUUAGAUGUGAGAAUAUUUGUUGAUUUCUUAACCGGGAAUGUUAAGAGACAUGAUUAGUAUAUA